UGCGAAGAAAAGAAAAGAAAGAGACGAGAGUCGUGUAAUUCGACAAGGACAAAGGACGUUUCGAUGGAGGAUAAGACGUAAUUAACGGCGACGAUCGGUAAUCCAGGAGAUUAAGAAAGUUGGUUCGUCUAUCUUGGAGGUUUCGUUAGAGACUAUCCUGAAAUUCAGCGAGCGAUCAGUUUGUUGUCCAAGCAAAACUUUGACGCAUAAUUAUCGAAAACGAUUAGCCAAGGUUGGAUAUCCGAGAGUACCUUGUGUGCAGUCUCGUGCGUGCUUCGUAAAAGAGAAAAAAAAAUUCGAGUAAAAAGCUUAAAGACCGCUUUUCCAACGCUCGCCAACUUUAUAAUUAUGAAUGGUGAAUUCCAUGAAUUCUCGCAGGUGUUUCGUAAAAUAUUCGAAAAAAAGCUGGAGGUGGAAUUGUGAAAUAUUCUGCGAGGACGGUCUUGAUAAUGCGAUUCUCUCUUCGAAUUUUUGAAAUUAACUGCAGGUAUUACUACUUUCGGUCUAGGUUAUAACGAGAUUCGAAAGUUAGCUACUCGAAAUUUGAAGGAAAAGAGAUAGAUCGAAGGUUAUUCUCGACGACGAGGACGGAGAGAUUAAUUUCCCACAGCUUUCUCGCUUCGGUACGUUUCACGAAGCGAUUGGAUAUAUUUUAUUACUGGCAAAGUAGAAAAGGAAAGGAAAGGAAAGGAGGAGGAGGAGGAGGAGGAGGACGACACGU